GAGGCGGAGCGAGCCCCCUUUAAAAAGGGUUGAGGUCUCUGUGGGUUUGAGCUCCUUAGGACCUAGCCUUUAAAAUGCCCCGUGCCGUUGACCUCUCCCUGUCAGAAGGGUGCAGGUCUCCCCUUUCUAACUCCUCUUGGGCCGUUGGCACUCGCUGGGCAACGAGACCACCCACUUCUGAGGGAACGGAGGUCUCUCCUUUACAGCGCUUUUCGCUCUGGCCCAUUGGAAGGCCCCAGGCUUAAGGACCACCCUGUAAGGAGGGUUUUGGUCUCCUUUGCCAUGCAAAUUAACAGGUGACUUUGACACGCCCGGCAAAAUGACUGCCUUGUAACCAGGGUGUAAGGUCUUAUACCUCUCACGAUUAAGCUAGGGGAGCCUUUCUGUGCCUGUGGCUGAGACACUCCCCCCGACCCUCCACCACUUGGGAAGGGUUGAACUUCUGUUUCUCUUAGUCACAGUAAAUUCCCACAGAAUGAUUUCUAUUUGCCUUUUUUGAGAUUUGAAGUGAAAUCUUACUUGGAACCUAUCCCGGUCAGAUGGAACAUGGUGUGGCGCAGGGGCGGCUGUAAGGGGAUGGCGGAGACCGUGGAAAAUUCGCCCCUUUUCUCAAAAAAGCCAAGAAAUGGCCCAACCAAGCAAACGUCACAAAGUCUGGAAAUGAACAGGGGAGUUGGGGGUGACUGCCCUGUAAUCAGGGUUCAGGUCUCUUUCCCUUUUCUCCUCCCUGUAUUGGCCCCCUUAACAGCACCCGACAUAGUCACUCUGCAGAGUAGACUCUGGCCCCUCCGCAGCCUUGAUACCACAGAUCCCCUACCCAACGAGGAAGCACACGGCCCGUGAAGAAACUAGAGGGAGCACACAUGAGGAAUUCAAAGCACUGACCUCUUACUCAGAACCAAUUAUCUGGGAGGCGGAAACCUGAGGACUGUUCAUAUCUGCUUAGAAGGAUGUCCAGGUUGCUCAGGUCCACUUGUAUCAGCUUCUCCUGUGGCUGGGGCUCCUGGCCAAUUCCUCUGCAAGCGCAGCUGCAAAAGCCAAGCAUGAGCCAUCACUGCACAAAUCUCUAUUGGUGUGUGAAAUCUU
rnacentral:lncRNA from 1 species